UCUCCAAACUUUGAAAUAAAAUGGGUAAAAAAAAUAUAUUAAAAAUAAAAUCAACUCCUGCACCUCGUAAUGGUACUGCAGCCGCGGUUGUAGGGGUUGGCCUGAGCCCCAGGCUGGCAAUUGUAGUACGAGGCUCCUCUCCUAGAGCAGGGAACAGUGUUCCUCUGCAGUGCUCCAUAGCUGAUGUACUUCGUGGUUGCUAAAAUGCGCCUGCUGAUCUCUGAGUCCAACUCAAACUCCUCCCCAUUACUGGCCAAGCACUCUGCUAUGGACCCUUUGCAGGAUGAUCUGAUGGGUAUCCAUCCUAGGUGUUGCUGGUGGUCCACACUUCCCUGAACGGUGGACGAUGUGCUCAUCAAGAUCAAGAUGAAUAGGGCGGCACCACAAAUCAAGAAAGAAGAAAACAAGUUGGCCAUUCUUUGACAAGAAACCACAAAGAAUCUCUCUUUUCCCUUCUCUCUUUGGUUUCUUGUACUAGGGUUUUCUUUUCUUCUUUUUUUCCUUCCUUUAUUUUCUCUCCUGUUUGUUUAGUGGGAAAAUGGCAUUGCUUGUUUAUGAUUGGCUUUGGGUUUUUGUAGAUUUCUUUAUUCUUCUGUUAAGAUGGAGACAACAGCUAAGCUAACAAGCUAAGGCCUGGCCGGAGACUUAAAAGAAACCUACAUUCAAUUAAUGACUUUGUUUCAGGUUUUAUUUACCAAAAUGCCAUUCAUUGAAUUUAUGGGAAGC
rnacentral:misc_RNA from 1 species